rnacentral:rRNA from 1 species
GACGAACGCUGGCGGCGUGCCUAAUACAUGCAAGUCGAGCGAAGUUUUUCUGGUGCUUGCACCGGAAAAACUUAGCGGCGAACGGGUGAGUAACACGUAAAGAACCUGCCUCAUAGACUGGGACAACUAUUGGAAACGAUAGCUAAUACCGGAUAAUAGCAUUAACUGCAUGGUUGAUGUUUAAAAGUUGGUUUUGCUAACACUAUGAGAUGGCUUUGCGGUGCAUUAGCUAGUUGGUGGGGUAAAGGCCUACCAAGGCGACGAUGCAUAGCCGACCUGAGAGGGUGAUCGGCCACACUGGGACUGAGACACGGCCCAGACUCCUACGGGAGGCAGCAGUAGGGAAUCUUCCGCAAUGGGCGAAAGCCUGACGGAGCAACGCCGCGUGAGUGAAGAAGGAUUUCGGUUCGUAAAGCUCUGUUGUUAGGGAAGAAUGAUUGUGUAGUAACUAUACACAGUAGAGACGGUACCUAAACAGAAAGCAACGGCUAACUACGUG